rnacentral:rRNA from 1 species
UACAGAGGGUGCAAGCGUUACUCGGAAUUACUGGGCGUAAAGCGUGCGUAGUCGGUUAUGUAAGUCAGAUGUGAAAGCCCCGGGCUCAACCUGGGAAUUGCAUUUGAGACUGCAUAGCUAGGGUGCGGAAGAGGGAAGCGGAAUUUCCGGUGUAGCGGUGAAAUGCGUAGAUAUCGGAAGGAACACCAGUGGCGAAAGCGGCUUCCUGGUCCAGCACCGACGUUCAGGCACGAAAGCGUGGGGAGCAAACAGG